rnacentral:lncRNA from 1 species
UAUAAUCAGAUAAAGAUUUAGGAAAGCCUGUGAGUGGUCGAGGCACGCGAAUCCGCGCUCUCCUUAGGAAGGAAACACCCCCUACUGCACCGGGUUGAUGAUGCUCUUUCCCCAAGAUACAACGACCUUCAAAUCUUCUCUUGUGCAGCAAAGAAGAUUCACGAACCAGUUUGUUGCCUAACAAAUACGAUAUAAACUUAGGAGAGAGAGGAGUA